rnacentral:rRNA from 1 species
CAGGCCUAACAAUGCAAGUCGAACGCUCGUAGCAAUACCGGAGUGGCAGACGGGUGAGUAACGCGUGGGAACGUACCCUUCGAUCUGGGAUAACUUGGGGAAACUCGAGCUAAUACCGGAUACGCCCUUUUGGGGAAAGGUUUACUGUCGAAGGAUCGGCCCGCGUCCGAUUAGCUAGUUGGUGUUGGUAAUGGCUCACCAAGGCGACGAUCGGUAGCUGGUCUGAGAGGAUGACCAGCCACAUUGGGACUGAGACACGGCCCAAACUCCUACGGGAGGCAGCAGUGGGGAAUAUUGGACAAUGGGCGCAAGCCUGAUCCAGCCAUGCCGCGUGAGUGAUGAAGGCCUUAGGGUUGUAAAGCUCUUUUAUCCGGGACGAUAAUGACGGUACCGGAGGAAUAAGCCCCGGCUAACUUCGUGCCAGCAGCCGCGGUAAU